rnacentral:rRNA from 1 species
AGUCUGGUGCCAGCAGCCGCGGUAAUUCCAGCUCUGAUAGUAUAUAUUAAAGUUGUUGCAGUUAAAAAGCUCGUAGUUGAAACUUGGGUGCGUAGGGGCGGUCUCUUUUAGAGUACUACCCUGAAACAUCUUUCUUUGGUGUAAACUCUUUAUUCACUUAAGGAGUGUAAACCAAACAUUUACUUUGAAAAAAUUAGAGUGUUCAAAGCAGGCCUUUGCUCGAAUAUAUUAGCAUGGAAUAAUAGAAUAGGACGUAUGGUUCUAUUUUGUUGGUUUCUAGGACCGUCGUAAUGAUUAAUAGGGACGGUCGGGGGCAUCAGUAUUCAGUUGUCAGAGGUGAAAUUCUUGGAUUUACUGAAGACUAACUACUGCGAAAGCAUUUGCCAAGGACGUUUUCAUUAAUCAAGAACGAAAGUUAGGGGAUCGAAGACGAUCAGAUACCGUCGUAGUCUUAACCGUAAACUAUGCCGACUAGGGAUCGGAGGGCGUUAUAAUAACCUCUCCGGCACCUUACGAGAAAUCAAAGUUUUUGGGUUCUGGGGGGAGUAUGGUUGCAAGGCUGAAACUUAAAGGAAUUGACGGAAGGGCACCACCAGGAGUGGAGCCUGCGGCUUAAUUUGACCCAACACGGGGAAACUCACCAGGUCCAGACACAAUAAGGAUUGACAGAUUGAGAGCUCUUUCAUGAUUUUGUGGGUGGUGGUGCAUGGCCGUUCUUAGUUGGUGGAGUGAUUUGUCUGCUUAAUUGCGAUAACGAACGAGACCUUAACCUGCUAAAUAGCUGUAACAAUAGAUUAUUGUUUUGACAGCUUCUUAGAGGGACUAUCGAUUUUCAAGUCGAUGGAAGUUUGAGGCAAUAACAGGUCUGUGAUGCCCUUAGACGUUCUGGGCCGCACGCGCGCUACACUGACGGAGCCAGCGAGUCUAACCUGUGCCGAGAGGUAUGGGUAAUCUUGUGAAACUCCGUCGUGCUGGGGAUAGAGCAUUGCAAUUAUUGCUCUUCAACGAGGAAUUCCUAGUAAGCGCAAGUCAUCAGCUUGCGUUGAUUACGUCCCUGCCCUUUGUACACACCGCCCGUCGCUACUACCGAUUGAAUGGCUUAGUGAGGCUUCCGGAUUGAUUAACUGGAGAGGGCAACUUUUCUGGUUGAACGAGAAGCUAGUCAAACUUGGUCAUUUAGA